AAAAAAAUAAAAAAAAAAAUACGGAAUACUGGUCCUUUAGGUUCUAGGUGGAUCACACCCGAGCUACAUAGGCUUGUAGAAUUUUUUUUAUAUCUGGAAAGGAUCGGAGAGAUGGGUAGUUGUAGCUUUCCAUUUCAUAGAUUAAGGAAUUGGGCCUCAGAGAGGUUAAGUGACAUGCUAAGGUCAUGGAGGGUGGCUGUUAUGUUAUGUCCCCCUACAGUUCUUGUCUAGGAUUAUCCAUAUUUUAUUAUGCUGCUUUAACUUGUGGUACACACGGAUUAGAGGAGAGUUAAGGGCUAGGAUAUUGUGGAAUUCUUGUGACCUCUGGGGUCAUUGCACUGUCCUUUGGGAUCACUGAAUGUCCUGUGGAGCCGCUAGAACUGGAAGAUCUCCUAGUGGGACUGCAGAAUUUUUUAUGGCCACUGCAUCUUUGCACUUACUCUGCUUGCCUGGGGUCCUACAAACAGGACACAGAAGGGUCAUGGGGUCACCCAAGACUGAGCUGGAAGGAUGUGCCAUCAAAAUAAGCAACAUCGGAAGAUAAACAAACCGGGGACAGAGAGCUCGGGAUGAAGGUACGGGGGGGCCAGGGCUGAUGUCAGAGGGCCAUGCGGUCAGAGCCGGGGGUCUGUUUUUCCUAGUUCUUGUUGGGACUAUUGCUAGGCAAGAGGCCAUAGGGGUAGGGACAGAGGACAGGGGGACAGGGAGGUUUCUAGGAUCCCAAGGCCAGGAAGAAUGUUUAAGGAUUGAAUAGGGGUUACUUCUCCAUAUUUAGUCCUUUUGCUUUUCCUCUCCACGUAAGAGCCUCUUUCUCUUUUCCAGGGAGCCCAAGGGGGCCGUUCGAUAGUGGCCUAUCUAGAGGGGAAGUACUGGCAAUGUCGGUUCAAGUCAGCUGAUGGGGUGGCUGCCGGCAUGAUCCUCAUAGAGGCAAGAUCCCCUUAAAGAGCAUUUCCUAAGGCUGGGGGCUGAAAGGCACCAUUAGAAGGGGAAGAUGAGUUAGGGAAUUGGCGAAUAUUAUUGCAUAGCCGUAGGAACUGUGUUAGAGAGGAAGUUUAGGACGAGUGGGCUGGCAUGGCCCACUCUCAGUCUAGUCCACUGGAGGGAGUUCCUUCCCGUGGCCCUGUCCGUGCCUCCUUCUCUCCAUCUGGUUGCCAUCAGGCUGUGCGGCUGCUGGCGGGCUCUUUAUUUAUUUAUCCCAGUGUAAUGGGGUGAGGAGGGAGCUGGCCUAAGGCUGGCAUUCCGAGGCCAUGCCGCUGAGCCACAGGCGGUUUGCAUGGGUGUGUGAGUCACUGGGGCUGCAUGCUGCUCAAACCAGACGCGGCCAGGCUCAGGGACAGCAGGCAGCCCAAAAUAGAGCCCCGCCCUCUGCAGCUGGCAACCCCUGGCUAAGAAUCAGCCCUUGACACCAAAACCUGGGCAGUUGUGCGAAGUUGGCUUUCUUGGGGAGGGGGCCCUUAACAGACAGAGAGAUUUUGCAGUUCUCUCCUUCUGUAUCUUCAGAGAGGAGUAUUCAGCAUAGCAAUCACUCCCAUGGCUGCGUUCUGAAUGCCUUGUGAGACUUAAAUUAAUCUGUUCGGUAUCAUACCUUAACCAGUUUCUAUUAUCUACUUAUAGUUAUAUAACCGUAGUUAAUGUUGAUUUGACUCAGCAUCCUAAAUGUAGCCAUGGCCUUUGUGUCCUGUCUAGUUUUUGUUACUGUCUUCAUCCCCUGUCUGGUCGCAUCCUGAUUCUAGAGCAGCUCCUUGGAGCUAUGAAGAUAUUCAUUGCUGCUCUUAGGAAGCUAGAGGUUAUAUCAAAGACAUCUGGGGAAGAUGGGGAGUCCUUUAACCUGAAAGUUGCUGUCCUGGUAAGUUCGUUCACAGACAGCUUCCACGUGGUUUCCUUGGCUGGCUUUCCAUUCUUUACCUGCCCCUUAAAUGUUAGUGUUACCCAGAUUUGUGUCCUUGAUCGUCUUACCCUUCAAUGUCUUUCUCUCUGGGUCAUCUCAUCCAGACCCAGCUUCAACUAUCACUAGUACACCACUGAGUCCCAAUUUCAUAUCUCCAUCAUGUGUCCAGCCAUAUUUCUUUCGGUACAUUUGACAUUUCCACCUGGAUGUCCCACAUGCAACACCCUAAACGUGUCCAAAAUUAAUCAUCUACUCCCCCCAGCCUAUUUCUCUUCUUAUAUUCCUUCUCUUGGGGCAGUAUACCAUUAUACAUUCAGUUUUCUAGGCUAGAAACUUGGGAGUUACCCACUUUUCUCUUGGUCCUUACUUCCAAAGCCUAACUUGUCAGCUGUCUUUUGAAUCGGCUCUUCUUCUCUAUUCCAGCUUCCAUUGCCUUAGAUUGGCCACCCCACUCUCUUUUUUGGUUUGACCAUGCAACAGCCUCCUGAUUUGUCUCCCAGUCAGUCCUUAUUUCCCUCCAGCUGACCUUGCAGUUAAAUCAGAGUGGCCUCUUUGAAACAGAAACAGAAACUUGAUUGCUUAAAGUCCUUCAAUGGUUCCCUGUUGCCUACAGGAUGAAGUUUAAACUCCUGGCGUGCCACGCAAGAUCCUUGACGAUUUGGUCCUACUGACCUCUUCGGUCUUAUCCCGCUCUGCCAUAGCACUGAAGUGCUGACGGCUUCCUGUCCAUACAUCCCUUGACCAAUUUGCCUGUAGUCCCUGUCUCUUGUUCUCCUAGCAGACUCCUGUUCAACUUUCCCAACUCUGCACAGGCAUCAUCCCUUUUGUGAGUUUUCUAUGACAAUUUUUCCUUUCCUCAGUCUGCUCUCUUUCUUCCAGGCAUAGGUACUCUCUCCUGCUGUUCCCACAGCUCCCUGUACAUACCUCCGCCAUAGUAUUUGUUGGAAGGGAAGAUACAGAAAUGAAAAGGAAGGAUGGGGAGGCAGGGGACAAUUGAGUUGGCUGAUCCUUGCCAGUUUAGCUUUUUCCUUUAUAAUGCUUAAUUCCUUCUCCUCGAUAUACUCUCUUUUUACGUGGCUUCCACACCACAAUACUCUCCUGUUUUUCUUCCUAUUCACGGGGUGCUCCUCGGAAUCUUUUGCUGGUUCUUCUUCUCCCUUACCUCUUAAUGUUGGAGUGCCCCAGGACUCAGUCCUUGAUGCUCAUAUCUUUUUUCAUUCGUUCCGUUAGUGAUCUCAUCCCAUGGCUCGAAAUACCAUCUUGUUGAUGAAUCCCACAUUUAACCUUUAUUCCUAGACCUUGCCCCCAAACUCUGGACUGCCUGCUCAGCAUUUCCACAUGGACGUCUGAUCGAGUCUUAGACUCAACAUGUCCAAAACUGAACUCCUAAUCUUACUCCCAAAUUUGCUUUUCCAACAACCUCCUCCCACGUUAGUUGAUGGAAACUUCAUCCUUUCUCUUGCUGGGGCCACAAACCUUGGAGUCAUCCUUGACUUCUGUCUUUCUCUCACAUUCUACAUCUCACCCAUCAGGAAAUCUUGUUGGCUCUACCUUCAAAAUAUACCUGUAAUUUCAUCUCUGCUGCCCCCACUGUGGUCUGAGCCAUCAUCUCUUUCCUGCACUAUUGUGAUAGCCUCCUUCCUAGUGUCCCUGCUGCUACCUGUGCCCCUUCUGGCCCAUCUCUGACGAAGUGAUCUUAUUGAAACACAGAUCACACCGCGAUAUUGCCCUGCUCAGUGCCCUUCACUGGCUUCACAUUUCCUUAUAGAGUAAAACCCAAAGACCUUACAAUGGCCUAUAAAACCCUAUGUGGUCUGGACCUCGUUACCUUUCUGAUCUCCUGUCCGCCUACUGUCUCCCUCCCUUGCUCCUGUGUAGCACCCUGGCCUCUUGCUGGUUUUCUAAUGCUCUAGGCAUCACCUGCCUUUAGGCCUUUAUGCUUCCUGUUCCCUCUGCCUGGAAUGUUCUUUCUUCAAAUAUUUGUGUGGCCAACUCCCUCACUUCCUUUAUUUCUGUAUUAGUUGUCUAUUGCUGUGUAACAAAUUACUCCAAAGCUUAGUGUCUUAAAACAACCGACAUUUAUUAUCUCACACAGCUUUGGAGGGUCGGGAAUCUAGAAGCAGCUUAGAUGGGUGAUUCUGGCUCAGGGUCUCUAAGUUGCAGUCAAGAUGUCGGCUGGGAAUUCAGUCAUUGUGAGGGGCUGGAGAAUUCACUUCCAAGCUCUCUCAUGUGGCUGUCGGCAGGAGGUGCCACUUUCUUGCCAUGUGUCCUCUCCAUAGUGCUGUUCACGUGACAUGGCCUUGGCUUCCUCUAGAGCAAGUGAUCCAAGACGGAGAGACCAAGCCAGAGACCACAGUGGAAGCUGCAGUCUUUCUAACCUCAUCUCAGAAGUGACACCCCAUCACUAUCUUGCUAUAUUCUCUUCAUCAGAAGUGAGUCACUAUCCAGGCCACACUCAAGGGGAGGGUAAUUAAGAGCCACCUCUUAAGAGGAGGUGUGUCCAAAAAAUGUGUGGACAUAUCUGCAUGGACUACAAUCAUGGCCUUGUUCAAAUGUCACCUUCUCAGUGGUUUACCCUGACGAGCCUAUUUGAAACUGUGAGCCACAUCCCUGCCCUUCUGCACCUGGCACUCCCAUUUCACUUUACCAAACUCUGCUUUUCAUUUUUUCCAUAGCAGUUAUCUUCCAACGUAUUACUGUAAAACUUACUUAUUUUAUUAUGUUUGUUGUUUAUAGUCUGUCUCCCUCUGGCUAGGAUGUGUGAGCUCAGCCAGGACAAGGAUGUAUGUUCGGUGCAUUGGAUUAUCCAAAGUGUCUAGAACAGUGCCUCCCACAUAGGGGACACUCAGUAAAUAUUUCUCGGGUGGAUGAAAAUCAUAUCCUCCCACUCCUCUUUGUUUUCCCUGUAUUAUGACUGGGCCAUGAAAUCAUCACCUGUUGGUGGCCUCAGACUGAGACAGCCUACUGUGAAUAGAUGAGUAGCCUAGGGAGAGGACCACUGUUGGCGUGCCAUCCUCCACCUGCCUCGUUUCUGUGACACUUAGUUUACUGGAAGGUGGUCCCAACUUUGCGAUGAAGUACAAAUCUUGAAUCUUUUAUUAUUGAGAGACCCUAGCAGCUCUUUUUUAGGCCCAGUUAAGAAAUUAAAUGUCUCACAAACGAAAGGAAUAGGAACCUAACAAAAUCCUGGAAAGCACGUUAGUCAUAGAGCCAAGUAAGUUGUUAAGUUCCUCCUUUGCUCGGUCUUUCCUCUCUCUGGGCUCUGCUUCCACCGUUCGAAGGGCGGCUCCCCUACCGUACGUCUGUUGUUCGAUAUGUAGAGGAGGACAGAGAUUCAGAACAUGUUUUUCGGUGUCCCUCAUGGGCAUCAGAAAGAAGGAUAAGUCUAGAAGCAUGAGAGUGGCCUCCCUACCCUUGUGUGUCAGUUCUCGGAUCUAGAGAAACUCGCAGUUAAUUCCUUCUUGCAGUAUUCAGCAUGGCGCACGUGCCCUGUGUCAGGUUCUCUGAGCGUAUGAGGUAUGACAGUAGUGUCAUCAGAGAGCUCACUGUGCUUACUGAAUGAUAAUAGGGGCCAGAGGCGUGGAGGGGUGGAAAAAAGCUUCCUGUAAAAGGCAGGAUUCCAGUGUUUUUUUUAGGUUUUGCUAGGGAACUACAUGGAAGGCAUUUUAGGUGGGAAGCCCACGGGCGAAGGAUAUAAAAUAAGAAUAAGAGUGGGUGAGGAUUAGUAGGAAAUAAGGUUAGUAAGAUAAUAACUUGAUGCUAGGUUGUGAGCAGCCUUAAAUGCUGGCCUGGAAGAUUGGUGCUUUUGUUCCAAGGGGAAAUGUGUUUCAGCUUUUGUCUGCCUGUAAUCCAUUGAUUUGCCCAUUCCAGUCCGUUUAUUAACCUCCAUCAUUACAUGCAGUGAUUCUCAAACGGGCAAGUCUCCCAGGAAGGAGAUGGGGCGCUUCCUUCUCGUGGUUAUUAAUUACCGUUGUAGAUAGUGGGGAAGCAGUGAAAGUUUUGGAGCACUGACAUCUGAAAGUGAUCUUUUGGGAAGAUUAGUCUGUCAGUGGUAUGCCUGUGUGAUCUGAAGAAUAGUGGUGCCAUUGACAGACUAGGAAAAUCAUGGGUGGGGCUGCUUUAAAUCUAAUCUUGGGCAUAUAAAGGAAUGGUUUUCCUUAUUUAAAACACAAAUCCACCAGUAUUUGAGCUCUGGAAUGAGACUCUCCAGGGAGGAAGGGGUGGCUGCACGUGUUUCUCAACUAUAUUCUUCUGAAUUUUGUCCUCUCUUGGGGGCUUUCUCACUGUGAUUCCUGUAGUCACCAUUGAGCCCUGCUACCGGGGGUCCCCUCUUCUUUUCUUUUUGGCCCAAGAAUGCAUAAAAAGGCUUCUUUCUUUGUUUUCCUUUUACAAAGCUUUCUGAGGGCUUAUACUUUUAACAGGAUAGUUGUGAAAAAUCUGAGAGAAAACAGAAAGGAAAUCAAUAUAGAAAAUACAAAAAAGAUAAAAUUACUCAUUUCCAAAAGAUUUCUGAUUCUGGAAAUCCCAAUAGUGAAGGACUGUUAUCAUAUUCCAAAUUCUCUUAUCCUAAAAAAACUCAAAACUAGGUGUUACGAACUCAAGAUGCCUGUAGGGGGUAGGCAUAUAACAUAAAUAUGUGUAUCAGCCUGGAUAACAGACAACAGAGAUUUCUAGAGGCCGGUGGAAAACUAAAUUGUGGAUGCUCCCUGUAUCUAGACCCAGGUAGGCCAGCACAGUUUAACACAUGCUGCUCCAGGCAGGUGUGUAUCUUACUUCAUUUAAAGGAAGUUACCAACUCUUCUAAAAUGAGAACUUUUGCCUUUUCUGUUUAGCCUCACUACAUCUGCUGUUAGUCUCUCAUUUGGUUUUAAUCUCCAGUCUGAGAAAUUCACUUAGUUCAGAACUGAGUUGCGAGGUGCUGAUGUUUGAUGCGUUACUUCUGGUGAGUGAUCGAGCCCUUUUAGGCCUAACCUAGAAGCUUCAUAUACCGCUGGACCAGUUUGCCAUGAUUCCCACAGGUGAGUCUCUCUCCUCUUCCAAAGGGUUUCAUAAGAGUCCAUUCAUUACGGUGUGACCAUUUAACCAUGCCUUAGCUUACAAAAAAAUCGAUGGCUUAGCUAUAAAGGUAAUUUAAAAACAUAAGAUGAAGAUUUUUUUCAGUACAUGUUGGCUUCAAAUUGACUAUAGGACAUACAAGUGGGAAUGUUCAGGAAAGAGUUAAAAAAAUAGGGUUGAAAAAAGAACUUGUAGAAAUAGAUUUGGGACCCUUCUUCAAAGGAGUAGUGUUUGAAGGCAUGAGAAUGGGUGCAUCUUUUGCUGGGAAGAGCAUGGAGAAAAGAAAAGAACAAAAGUCUGGUGAUUGAGAUUUGGGGCAACGCCACAAUUGGAAGGAGGUGUCGGAGCCAGUGAAGGAAGUGUGGGUGAGGUGGGAAGAGAAUCUAGAUAGAGGAGUAAAUUAGCCAAGAAAGGGCAACUAACAGUUAUCAAGGACAUACUGUGCCCGUGCUAGACACAGAGGUAAGUGCUUUAUCUAAGUUUUGACGUUAAUCCUUACAACAAACCUGCGAGGUUGGUGAUAUGAUCCUCGUUUUAAAGACAAAGAAGCAGAGACUCAAGGCUCAGCAAUUUGCUUCAGGUCACUCAGCUGACUUACUUGUGUUUGUCUCUACUCAAAUCCCGUGCUCUUCCCGUCACCAAGGAGGGUGAUCCGCAGCGCCACGUGCAGGAGAAAAUCAGAGGGAAAGGGUGACUGCCUGAGUGCCUGGGGAAGGAGCAGCGGGCAGGUCACGGUCUUGGCAAUAUCAGCGGAUUGCAGGCAGCUACAGAAGGAUGAAUUGAUAAGGCCGUGGAGACAAUGAGUGUAGGACUCCCAUCAGAGAAGUUUCACAACGGAAAGGAAGUGAGUUAGCUGGAGAGCUAGAAGUGGCUUCAACAAAACCCUUUUUUAAGAUGGGAAUACACACAGAUGUUUGACAGCAAAGGGGAAAAGGAGGGGAAAGGAGAGAUUUCUGCUGGAGAAGGGACGGUGAUCGUGUGAAAGCAGGGGCCUGCGGAGCUGAGCGAAGUGCAAGGAUGAGCCCUUCAUCUGGCGUUUGUGGGUGGCCUGAAGGCACUGGUGAUAUUUUGAAGAGAGAUGACUUGAUUUCUGCCUGUGUCCAUCCCCUUUCCCCAGGCAAUGUAGCCUUUUCAUCCAAGAAUUUUUAUGUCCUUUCCAAGGGCAUUGAAUUCGCCUUGCUUAAAAAGAGGAUCAGAUGGUUACAUGACUUCUCUGUUAUGACAGAAAUAGUGAAAGGGACAGAAGUAGAAGGAUAAGCAAUAUUCUUUCCCUCUUCUGAACUCCCACGACUCUUGGUAUCUUUCCUGUGUCACUGAUCACGUUGGCCUUGUAUUGUAGGAAUUUCUAUACUUAUCUUCCCCUGUUAGGUUAUAAACUCCUGAAGUGCAGAACUGUCUUGCUCAUUUUAUUUCCUCUUCUGAACCUACCGCAGUGCCUUGUAGAUAGGCGGUUCACAAUAAUGAGUGGUUGUAGCUUAAAGGUCUUGGCAUUCGAGGAGUCUCCCACGUUGGUAAAGGUUGUCUCUGGAUAUAGAAAUGAAGAGAGAAAACAACAGUAUCAAACAGCUUACUCUUAAGCUUUACCUGAUCUGUUGGCUUCCUCACUUUGGCCUUAUACCUAAAGUGUUCACUUACGGCCUGCACUUACGGGUGGUAUUUCCUUUGGAUGGGGGCUGCAUUGAAAAGUGGGAGUUCUGCCGAGACUGAGUCCUGGAGGUCAGCAGCUUAGCUGUCCAGGGUUUAGGGAAUGAUGCUGCAGGAUUCAUCAGCAUCCUUGUUAUCUCCCAUAAGGGGAGAAAUUGCCACAAAGUGGCAGAGAGCAUUUUUUUCAUUCUGUGUAGGAGAUCUUUGGUCUAUUUGUUUUUCUGUUUGGAAAUUUAAACUCUGUGUGGACAGUACUUAUUAAGUACCAGUGAAAAUGUUAAACAUCGUGGAGUCAUACUGAAAAGUGAAAACAUGGUUUCUGCCCUUGAAAGAUGGACUUCUGAGAGAGAUUAGACCACUGGGAUUUACACAUAUGCAAAAAUAUUCUAAAUAGAUAAAAUGUAUCUUACCUGAGACAAGGAAGAAUAGAUUGAUUUAGGGAGGAUCUGGGGUCCGUACCAGGCUACUUUGGGAAAGGUAUUUGUGGAAGAGGCGAAUCUUGAGCCAAGAGUCCAGAGGGAUUUUGAAUGGCGGAUGGCUGCCAAAGGAAAGACACAGCUAAGUGCUAUGUUCAGUCAUACAAUCUGAGAGGCGCUCCCUGGGUGCGGUGGUUCAAGGGAAUCCUUCAGAAGCUCUUGGCAUCCAUUGCUCUUGUGCUUGAAGCUCAAGGACUUGUGAUGCUGCACAUUGUCCUCCAGAGAACCCCUCCCGGUUUGGUGUGAGUGAAGUUAGGAACGAGAGGAACUUGGAGACAGGAUGCCAGUCCUGCUUGAUCGAAAGAAGGAAUAGUCAAUCGUCUUAGCAUAUAGUUUUCUGCAGUCCCCCAGCAGUCAGGGGAAGAGCAGAGUGAAACUACUGAAUUUAGUGGGUGCCUAAGGAAAUGCAAAUCUCAAACAGAGUACCCCCAAAUUUGGGCUAACCUCUGAUACUGAGAUCAAUUAGAAUCAAUAUAAAAUGGAGGAGAUUUGCUAUCUACAGAACUAACCCACCCAACUGUUUGUAAAUAAAUUGCUUAUGAGACUAGGCUACAAAUCUCCUCCAGGCGUAGGCUGGUACCUUAAGGAAGGAAAUCAUGGCAUCUUAUAUCUUGUACAGAAGAUUAGAGCCAUAGACUUUAUGAGCUGGAAGGGACUAUCAGUCUAAGAAUCUAUCAAGCCUCUUUGUUUUACUUAUGAGGAAAUGAGGGCCCACAAAGGUAAAAGAACUCUUAUGUAGACAAUUAGUGGUAGAUUUUGCACCAGGACUCAGAAUUAGGUACCAGGACCCAGGGCUCUGAACUUCCAGUCCAGUAUUCUUCCAUCAUGUCCAUGGCCUUGUCACAUGUUACGCAGCUGUGGGCAGUAGGCAAGUCUGAGUCCUAUUUGUGAGUGGGACAGAGACCUGAUUUAAGAGAGAGGAAAGUGGUCCAUAGCUGGAGAACUCUGCCCCAAGUACUGCCUUAUUUCUUACUCCACAUCCCUUUCUUCCAUCUCUUGGUCUUGCACACCUCUAGGCUCUUAUAAGCCAUUUGAGAGAAACUGUUAUAUAAUUAAUUCAUGAGAUCUGAGGAGAUGUACGAACAGAGGAGCAGGGUUGUAUAGAAUUCAAAAAAAGAAAAGCCCAGGAAUAACAAUUUAUUAACUUAUCUAGCACAGUGCCACAGCAAUGACAGAGUAGAAUGAGGAUGAAUGUCUAGCUUUUUCCACGGUGUGUGUGAACUACCCAUAAAGUGAUGUGCUGUUUUUUGCCCCUUUUCUGUGUCUAACAAGUAGCACUCUCAGUGUUUAUUCAGCUUCCCAGGAAAAAUCAGCUGAAGAUCUAUAGUCACUGGAAUGGCAUAGCCUCUAACUUAUAAACUAAUACAUUGGCAUUUUAAUUUCUAAAUUAGUUUCUUAUGAUUUUAGUUAGUGUCAGUCAAUCUUCCAGAGUCUGAUUAUCCCUAAAUUAACUAAUGAGAACCAAGUUAGAGACUCUGGGCCUUUGAUGACCCCUACAAAGUAUUGAUUCCCAUGAGAUGCUGCUUGAGCAGCCGCUUUGGGUAUCUCCGUCCAUGGAUCUCUUUGCCUCCCCCAAGAGUUCUUAGUGAAAACACUGAGUCCUGGAGGCCCCUCUACCUCCAUCCGAGAGCAUCAGGCUGGAUUUAAAAGCAUCACAGAAGUACUCGGAGUGCUUAUCGGAUGCUCUGUGCAAUAGUGGACCUGACCGUGCAGCUCCUUUCAUCGAACUUAACAUGCACACUGAGAAAUCCUCCCUCAGUCUGGGGCUUUGCCCAGCUGGAGAAGCCCUUUGGAUGGUCAGUGGGGGGUGUGGGAGUACUAACUCGGAGGGGGUCUCCCUCAGCACUCUCUGAACUCAGAGCUUCCCUUUCUUCAACCUCAUCUGCAAGGGAAGGAGGGAGAUAUCGGUGCUCCUUUGCCCCUCUUUGUUUUGUCACGUCCAUUUUAGGAAAUUCAGUGCCAGAGGACUGCCCAGAGUUGUGUGCCCCUGAUCUAGCGAGCCCUAACACCUCAGAGUCCGAGGGUUGGUUGGAGCUGUACUGGUCUGGUCAGAACCCCAUGGUUCAGUGAUGUCCAGACCAAUAGCCCCUCUUGCCUCCAACUGCUUCUGAGCCUGCAAAGCCUGAAUCAAAUGACCAUUGUACUAACCUCGUAUCGGGGCUCAGAAUGUCAGUUUUCAGCUUGUCCUCAUAUAUAAAUAUAGGUCUCUCUAGAUAUAAAAAGUGAGAGUCUUUAAGUUGCUUUUUUUUUUUUUUCUAUACCCCCUUUCAUGGGGCAAGCUAAUGAGAUGCAUAUCAUUAAAGACCUGAUGUUUUGUGGGACGGAGCCUUUUAAACUGGAUGUGCCUGGCUUAGUCAUGGCAAAUAUUUACCAAAAAAAAAAAAAAAAAGGGACAUACCAUAUAAAAUUAGAGUUCUGAAAAUAGUACUGAGAGAGGGAGAAAGAAAAAAAAAAAAAAAAAGAAAGAAAAAAACCGGGACAGAAAAUACAGGCCAGUCUGUUUGGGGAAAAGGGAAAAAGAGAUAAAAUGAGAGAAACCUCGGCAGUAAAAACAGCAUCUUGGUAAACAGACUAUAAAAAAAAUUGUGACCUGCUUUCUGGCAGCCCUGGCGGCUGUCGAGCGGGUAAAGGUGGCGGAGCUGGCGUCUGUGUGGACACACGGUGCCCGGGGCGCACGGCUCCCCUGGCCGCGCAGGGCGUUAAAUUUAGCCACAUAAUGAUGGGCCUGAGGACAGCCUCUUGUUGACCACACCAUAAUUACUGCUUCGCUUUAUGAAUUUUAUUUUGCUUAUUCUGUUUCCUCCUCCUUUGGCAUGAAGGAGGCCUGGAGUGGGGGGAGCCCCACCCCCACACCCCUCCCCUUACUGGACAAAUGAGUCUUCAUAGAAACUUGGGUUCUUGGGCCAUCGAGGUAAAGACUAAGCUCCCUUGAUUAAUCAGAGAGGGAGGGAGGUUUGCUGGUCCCCAAGGCUCUUGAAUUAUCAUAGUCACAUCAGAAAUGGGACUGGCCAGCCCUGCUGCGCAGAGCUCUUGGACAACGUGUCCUGAAGGCUUCGGUCUUAGAAAGCACUUCAUGUGAGGCUGAGAGGUGGACGCUUGUGCUCUGUCUAUACCGCAAGGGCGAGGUCCCAGGUGGUGUUGGAGUUUUUGGUCUUUGGUCCUAAGCUCCCUAGCUGGCUACUUAGACGUUUAGUUUUGACAACAUUCUGCCUCCGGAAGAGGUGCAUUGUUUUCUACAUGUUGGUCUUAGUGAUAACUGGGUUCUUAAAGCUGAGGGUCUAAUAUAAUCAAGGGGCUGUGCUCAGGUAACAUCAAAAUGCGUGUUCAGAAUGUCCUAUUGAAACCUCAGCUAUUGUUCUUCUUGGCACUUGGACAGAUGCUCUCGGUUUUAGAGGUGAAAUAGUGUAGUUUGCUAGAGCGUACCGUGGCCUUCGUCAGAGGGGUGCCCUGAGGCUUAGAGGUACCUGCAGCUCUGGGGAACGGACCAGAAGCCCUUGGUCUCAGACCAAAAACACCAUACUGGGAGAGAAAGUAGGCUGUAGAAAGGGCAUCAGAGGAGUUGUAUGGGCUAAGGUACUGGGUCAUUGGGGGUGAAGUUCUUGAAUGGUGACCUAGGCUGGCAGCUACCUAUGGCCCCACAGUGGCCCUCCAGCUGAGGAAGUGGUGGAAAAGGAAAAGCAAACAGGGGUUGUGGUCAGGGUACUGGCUUGUCUGUCAUUGGCCAGGACUGUCCUGUUUGUGUGUCAGGGGUGGUUGGGCUCCUCCCGAAGCCAGGCAAGAACGUGUCAAGGAAAGGCUUCUUGCAGCUCUUGUUUUCUCAAAACAAAGGAAACUCCUUGCAUUGCUGGAAGUCGCGUGCUUGGAUGCUGAGUUUGUUAUUGCCUGAUAACCUGGCCACCAACUCCUGCCCUCCUCUUCACCCCAUACAGCCAGUGGCCUAGUGGGAGCAGCUUCCUGUUCCUCAUCCCAGGCAGCAGAUUCACUCUCUGUUGUACCCAGAAAGGAGAAAAACGAGGAGCUAGCCCUCCUACCCCCAGACCUAUCUUCUUCUCUUCCCAUGGAACCUUCUAGAACAGUGCUUUUCAAAGUAAUCUGACACAUGGUCUUACUGUGCAUAACUAAUAUGUGACAAGUUCAACAAUACUCAAACUCUUUCAUACCCUCUUCAUCGAGAUGAGUCCUCGGAACAUGUGUUUGAUGUCAUGGCAAUGUCAUGUUGCUAUAAAAGUUUUUUAAAUACUUCAGAUUCAAUUUCUAUACUUACCUCAUCAUGGGCUGGUAACCAAGAGUUCACGGACCAGCACCAGUUUGCUGAUCACACUUUGAAUAGCAUCGUUCUAGAACCUUAAGACCUAGUGAGUUUGAGCUAGUCCCUGUUGGACAUAGAGGUCCUGUCCUAAACCUGAUCAGUGGAGGCUGAGCAGACAAAGGAAUUCUUAGGGAAAUUUCAGGCAGUAAGAGACAAUCUGAUCUCAAUUGCCAAGUCAUGCCAGAGAGCUCCGACACUGAGGUGGAAGGUUGGACUAGACGAUUAAAAGUUUCUUUCCCAGUGCUAAGGUUCUGUGAUUCUAAGGUUAAAUGGUGAGGCCAAGAGAUAAAGUUAAGGGCCAUGAUGAUUUUCCCGUAGAGUAUUGAUUCUAAGCCCUGAACUCUAGGUGACUCAAUGAGGUGAAGAAAAAAAAGGAGUGGACGUUCUUCGUGGAGUUCAUUUACGAGUCUGUCAUUAUCGUCUAGAUAUGAGGUCUGUCUUAUACAGAUCCGUCUUGUGUUUGGUCAGCAUUAUCUUAGUCUUCUGUUAGGAGACCACCAAAUUGUUUCUAGAGGUUGAGAGAUCUAAGAUUGAGGAGAAAAGUAAAUAUUGGCAGAGUUGGUGGAAUUCAAGUUAGAGAUAAGAAAUGGGCCCUGGAUUAGAAAUGUGGAUUAUUGGCAGGGCUACCUGACACCCUUGUUGGAGAGUGGGGGUAAUACUCAACGCAGGAGGCUGGCAGCCCAGGUCCAGACAGCAGCUGGUUGGAAAGGACUUGCCACGCAGUCAGAGGUUUUCCUUUGCCAGAAAGAAAGUAAUAGGGGACUGAGAGGAAAGGCUGUUCGGGAAGGAAGCCAAGAAUUUAAAGGACUGGAGAGUUCCAUGAGGAAGGGAGUGGGAACCUGCGGGGUCCCACCCUUGCUAAAGGACAGAAGGAAAAGAAGUGGGCCUGGUCUCUUCUUCUUUUCUCUUUUUAACACUCCACUGACCGCAGGGAUCUGCAAUCAGGAAAAGAAACCAGAUAGAAGCUCCCGAUUAAAGUAAAUCUGGUCACAUGUCCCUGCUUAAAACUAUCGGUGGCUUCUUAUUACCUUAGGAUAAAGUCCAAACUCCUUAGUAAAACCAUUAAGGCCUUUUAUGAUCUGGCCUUUACUUACCUCUUUAGCUCCAACUGCCACUCGCCUGCUAGGCCCCACUCACCCCCAUCCACGCUCCCCACCUUCCAUCCUAAAUCUACACUUCAGGCUCAGUGAACUGCUGUCAGUUCCUAGAGUCCCUUAUUCUCUCUCUAUCUCUAGUCCUUGGCACAUGCUGUUCCCUCUGGAAAUCCCCUGCCUCACCCGGCUAACUCCUGUUUACUGUUUGCGUUUCAGUGAAGAUUUCACUCCCUCUAGGGAGCUUUCCCGGCCGUCUGAGUUCAGGGCCACUUCAGGACGACGAGAUAUGAUGGAUUGGCUCAAGAAAUUGAGUGACCCUGAGUCCUGCGAGUAAUUGCAGUUGAAACCAGGAGCUCAUCCUCGACUUUCUAGUACAGAGCUUUUUUCCACUCUCUCACACUUUCGUCUCCGAGGCUCUGUCCUAAUGGAAUGUUCUCGGGAAGGCAGCAUGCUCAGAGAGUGAAAAGCAUUCCUGUGACUCUUCUUGAGGCUGCCCAUUGAAACACUGGUCUGAAAUUACAGAAAAAUGGCCAAGCACCAAACUGGAGUGUCAUCACCUGGAAAGUCAAGGGAAAAUGUCAGGGCCUCGAAACAUGGAAAUGAGCUGAGACACUGUUAGAGGGGAAGCCUCGAUCUUGGAGAAGGAUCUGAGAAACACUGAUAUUUUCAGCUGCCAGAUGUUUUCCUUGGGGCCGCCCUGAGAAGAGGAUAGCCAGUUGGGACCAGAAUGGAACUAGGGGGAAUAUUUGCUGGCCCUCCGCCGGCUCUAGCAAUUUCCCAACCACUGAGCAAGGAGAGUGGAUGAGCUAGAACCUUUAAGGCUGCCUCUCAGCCCUUUUUAUCCUUCGGCUCUUGGGAGCUGGAGGGAACUGGUAUCACCCAAAUCAACGGAAACCUAAUCUCUAGGCAGAGCUGGCCACAAGGCCAGGUUCAAAAUUAUCCCUGUGCCCUGGCCUUUGGGCAGGGAUGAGGAGGCCUGGGUUCUCUCACCAGCAGCGAUUAGUAAAUUCUAGCCAUACAGGACCCAGACGCUCUUUGUCCAGCAAUGUUUUCCCAGUGUCUCCUGGGGAGUGAUUCAGGGCCAAGGUGACAGUGGGUUUGGAGCCCAGAUGAAAGGAUCGCAGGGACCACAAGACAAGAUCCCUUGUGUGGUGGCCGGCUGGAAGGAGGAGGGAGUGAGCGUGUGUGGAGGUCAGUGACGCAAUUCCCCUGGCUCGCAGGGCUGGAGGAGGAGAGGCUCGCGGUGUGUCUCCUUAUAAAGAGGCCCUAGCCACAUGAAGCAGGGGGUGAAGGUGAUCCCACUGUGAGUCACCCAGGAAGGGACGCCGUGUGCCCAGAGCCCAGAAGAGACGACUUGUGGAUUUCCCACUCUUUCCUUCUACGAUUGUAUGCGUAACACAGGCUGCUCCCGUCACUCACGCUGCACUGCCUCUCUUUCUGUCUUCCAGUCCCUUCUUCCUCCUCAUUCUGCAGUAUCCCUGAUGUGUGUGGGCUUUCAGUCUAUCAAUUUCUUCUGGAUUUCUAGAGUUGUUUUGCUUUUUUAAUCUAAAGUUUUAUAUCUGUUGAUUUCAAGAAACCCCAACCGUACUAAUUGUGUUUGCCUUUGAGAAGAUGGCCUGGUGGCUCCUUGCCAAGCUGGUUGUUCUUAGAUUGUGUUUGCUUUCCUUCUUAUCUUCACCAAGGCAGGUAUCAUAUCCUGGACUGGAAUCCGAAGGGAUUUGAGGGGCCCCUGGAUCCGAUUGCCCCUCGGUUGAAAGCAGCUCUCGUCUGGUCUUUAUUGAGGUCUGGGACUGAAGGGAGCUCCGGGGAGUGUCCCUCUAAUCAGCCAGCCACCAACCCCACACUGCCUUGUAAUAAAACAGCUCUAUAUUUGUUCUGUU